UGGGAACCCAAAAAUUAAAUUGUGUAUCUUACUUGAGGUUAUUUAAAGAUUUCAUAUUUAGAAUAGAUUCUCAUUUGUCAGUGGUUACACCUCUGCUCUCAACAGAUGGCAUGUUAUGAUGUCCAGUACAAGGCCAGAACAAUCUCAGAGCAGAUGGAAAAAAUUAAAGGAAAAUCAAAGAAAACCAUCAUCUGUGGUGGCAAUGACACCAAAAAAUUAUGGGUAACAUGACACUUUGAACACCAGGCUUCUUUGUCCUGCAACAAGGAAUGCAACAAACCUAUGAGGUAGAAUAAUUAAAAAACAGCAAAAAUGUUUUUUUUCACCAAAUAUUCAAAACCAAAUCAUUACACUAAUUGUUUUUCCACUGAAUGCAAAGUGUUUGAAUGUGAGAGCACAGGUGUAAAUUGGUAUAUCAUUUACUCAGCUGCUUCAGACCACAUUUUUUAGGGCAAAUGAACAGCCAUUGAUUGUUGAGGCAAUACUUGUGCAUAUCCAACUUCAACCAAAAUGUCCAUAACAGACACCUGAAUGUGUUUGAUGAUUCAGUUUUAGCAAAUGUGUUUUUCUUUUUUUUUCCCCCAUAUCAGUAACAGGAAUAGACCCAACAACCAGAGGUCCUUAAAAACAGACAUGCAUCCAUACAUUUUAUUUAUUUAAGUUAUG